rnacentral:tRNA from 1 species
UGGUAAUUAGUUUAACCAAAAAUUAAUGAUUUCGACUCAUUAGACUAUGAUUUAUACUCAUAAUUACCAA